rnacentral:rRNA from 1 species
AGUGAACGCUGGCGGCAUGCCUAACACAUGCAAGUCGAACGAACAGACCGGGGUCUUUCGCGGCUGGGGGUGGAACAGGAGGGAACAUUCACACAUGGAUGGCAUAACUCUGGGACAGUUGUGCCAUCACGGAACGUGCGCUUCGAGGGGACGAUUAAUUGCCUCUAGUGGGUCCGUCGUCGGAUUAGCUAGUUGUUUGAGGUAAUGGUGCACCAGGGCGACGAUCGGUAGCUGGUAUGAGAGGAUGAUCAGCCACAUAGGGACUGAGACACGGCCCAGAAUCCUACGGGAGGCAGCAGUGGGGAAUCUUGCGCAAUGGGCGGAAGCAUGACGCAGCCAUGCCGCGUGAAUGAUGAAGGUCUUAGGAUUGUAAAAUUCUUUCAACGAGGACGAUAAUGACGGUACCCGGAGAAGAAGCCCCGGCUAACUUCGUG